GCCUACCAUGGUCAUAACGGGUGACGGGGAAUCAGGGUUCGAUUCCGGAGAGGGAGCCUGAGAAACGGCUACCACAUCCAAGGAAGGCAGCAGGCGCGCAAAUUACCCACUCCCAGAACGGGGAGGUAGUGACGAAAAAUAACAAUACGGGACUCUUUUGAGACCCCGUAAUUGGAAUGAGUACACUCUAAAUCCUUUAACGAGGAUCUAUUCGAGGGCAAGUCUGGUGCCAGCCGCCGCGGUAAUUCCAGCUCGAAUAGCGUAUAUUAAAGUUGUUGCGGUUAAAAAGCUCGUAGUUGGAUCUCAGUUCCAGACGGGUGGUCCGCCAAACGGUGGUUACUGCCCGUUCUGAACAGCCAGCCGGUUUCUCUUGAUGAUCUUCACCGGUUGUCUCGGGUGACCGGCAAGUUUACUUUGAAAAAAUUAGAGUGCUCAAAGCAGGCGCGACGCCUGAAUAAUGGUGCAUGGAAUAAUGGAAUAGGACCUCGGUUCUAUUUUGUUGGUUUUCGGAACACGAGGUAAUGAUUAAGAGGGACAGACGGGGGCAUUCGUAUUGCGACGCUAGAGGUGAAAUUCUUGGACCGUCGCAAGACGAACUACUGCGAAAGCAUUUGCCAAGAAUGUUUCCAUUAAUCAAGAACGAAAGUUAGAGGUUCGAAGGCGAUCAGAUACCGCCCUAGUUCUAACCAUAAACGAUGCCAGCCAGCGAUCCGGCUGUGUUCCUCAAAUGACACGCCGGGCAGCUUCCGGGAAACCAAAGCUUUUGGGUUCCGGGGGAAGUAUGGUUGCAAAGCUGAAACUUAAAGGAAUUGACGGAAGGGCACCACCAGGAAUGGAGCCUGCGGCUUAAUUUGACUCAACACGGGGAAACUUACCCGGCCCGGACACAGGAAGGAUUGACAGAUUAAGAGCUCUUUCUUGAUUCUGUGGGUGGUGGUGCAUGGCCGUUCUUAGUUGGUGGAGUGAUUUGUCUGGUUAAUUCCGAUAACGAACGAGACUCUAGCCUACUAAAUAGACGUUCCGAUCAUCUCCGUCGGACGUUCUUCUUAGAGGGACAAGCGGCGUUUAGCCGCACGAGACAGAGCAAUAACAGGUCUGUGAUGCCCUUAGAUGUCCGGGGCCGCACGCGCGCUACAUUGAAGGAAUCAGCGUGUGCUUUCCCUGUCCGACAGGACUGGGUAACCCGUUGAACCUCCUUCGUGCUGGGGAUUGCGAAUUGUAAUUUUUUCGCAUGAACGAGGAAUUCCCAGUAAGCACGAGUCAUCAGCUCGUGUUGAUUACGUCCCUGCCCUUUGUACACACCGCCCGUCGCUACUACCGAUUGAAUGAUUUAGUGAGGUCUUCGGACUGGCGCUCGGAGCGGCUUUCGGGUCGCGCCGCGUGCCGGAAAGAUGACCAAACUUGAUCAUUUAGAGGAAGUAAA
rnacentral:rRNA from 1 species